AUUGAACGCUGGCGGCAGGCUUAACACAUGCAAGUCGAGCGGGGAAAGGUAGCUUGCUACCUGACCUAGCGGCGGACGGGUGAGUAAUGCUUAGGAAUCUGCCUAUUAGUGGGGGACAACAUCUCGAAAGGGAUGCUAAUACCGCAUACGUCCUACGGGAGAAAGCAGGGGACCUUCGGGCCUUGCGCUAAUAGAUGAGCCUAAGUCGGAUUAGCUAGUUGGUGGGGUAAAGGCCUACCAAGGCGACGAUCUGUAGCGGGUCUGAGAGGAUGAUCCGCCACACUGGGACUGAGACACGGCCCAGACUCCUACGGGAGGCAGCAGUGGGGAAUAUUGGACAAUGGGGGGAACCCUGAUCCAGCCAUGCCGCGUGUGUGAAGAAGGCCUUUUGGUCGUAAAGCACUUUAAGCGAGGAGGAGGCUACCGAGAUUAAUACUCUUGGAUAGUGGACGUUACUCGCAGAAUAAGCACCGGCUAACUCUGU
rnacentral:rRNA from 1 species